rnacentral:tRNA from 1 species
UAGGGGCGUGGUGAAACGGCAUCAUUACUCUCUCCAAAAGAGUCGUUCUUGGUUCGAAUCCAGGCGCCCCUGU